rnacentral:rRNA from 1 species
GACGAACGCUGGCGGCGUGCUUAACACAUGCAAGUCGAACGGAAAGGCCCUGCUUUUGUGGGGUGCUCGAGUGGCGAACGGGUGAGUAACACGUGAGUAACCUGCCCUUUACUUUGGGAUAACUUCAGGAAACUGGGGCUAAUACCGGAUAGGAGCUCCUGCUGCAUGGUGGGGGUUGGAAAGUUUCGGCGGUUGGGGAUGGACUCGCGGCUUAUCAGCUUGUUGGUGGGGUAGUGGCUUACCAAGGCUUUGACGGGUAGCCGGCCUGAGAGGGUGACCGGCCACAUUGGGACUGAGAUACGGCCCAGACUCCUACGGGAGGCAGCAGUGGGGAAUAUUGCACAAUGGGCGGAAGCCUGAUGCAGCAACGCCGCGUGCGGGAUGACGGCCUUCGGGUUGUAAACCGCUUUCGCCUGUGACGAAGCGUGAGUGACGGUAAUGGGUAAAGAAGCACCGGCUAACUACGU